rnacentral:rRNA from 1 species
GACGAACGCUGGCGGCGUGCUUAACACAUGCAAGUCGAACGGAAAGGCCCUGCUUUUGUGGGGUGCUCGAGUGGCGAACGGGUGAGUAACACGUGAGUAACCUGCCCUUGACUUUGGGAUAACUUCAGGAAACUGGGGCUAAUACCGGAUAGGAGCUCCUGCUGCAUGGGGGGGGUUGGAAAGUUUCGGCGGUUGGGGAUGGACUCGCGGCUUAUCAGCUUGUUGGUGGGGUAGUGGCUUACCAAGGCUUGGACGGGUAGCCGGCCUGAGAGGGUGACCGGCCACAUUGGGACUGAGCUACGGCCCAGACUCCUACGGGAGGCAGCAGUGGGGAAUAUUGCACAAUGGGCGGAAGCCUGAUGCAGCAACGCCGCGUGCGGGAUGACGGCCUUCGGGUUGUAAACCGCUUUCGCCUGUGACGAAGCGUGAGUGACGGUAAUGGGUAAAGAAGCACCGGCUAACUACGUG